AUUAUAUUAAAUUUUUUAUUUUAUCAAACAAAAUAAUCAAGUAUUUACAGAUUACGUUACUAGGCCUAAAUUCUGAUUCUUCACUACUCGCCACUUGUUAGGCCUUCUGUCUCAAAAGAGUUGUCACCUUUUAUUUUUCGGAGUCUAAGAAAACAAAUCCAACUAGUACUUAGGACAAUCUUUUUAUUGCAGAGGGAGUACAAUAUAGAAGCUCAUAUUACAGCCCGUGAAGUUCCUCCCUUCAACUUAGCUAGUAUCCUCCUCAUACUACUUUACAAAUCCAUCUUGAUUUAAUCUUAUGGUUGACGUCAUCCUCACAUACCCAUCUCUUUUUAUGGUUGACAUCAAGCUCAAACGACAUCGUCUGUUUUAUUUUUGCCAAAACCAAACCGAAGAAUUGCAGCUCAAAACCUGUGCAUUUCAGUUGUCGAUCAAGAUGACGAAAUGAAAAUUACAAAUUAGAAGAAAUAUAAUCUCUCGAGGAAUAUAUUAUAUAAUAUGACGAAUAUGAGAUUAUCAAAUUAAAAUAUACAAUUUCACCAUAAAAGCCACAAGAUCACCUUCAUAUCACCUACAAAAUCCCAAGUGGAACAUACAGGGGACGUGCACUCGAGAAGCUGUUACAUUAAGCGGCAGUUUUGUACAACUUUGACACAACCAUGUGAUGGGCUCUUAAAACAAAUGAAUAACAAGGAAAAAUAGAUUGGAUGCCAUGCAGGACCUCAUUAGUUUUUCAAUAUUGUACAGUAAUUAAGGAGGCCAGAUUUUGAAAAUGGAACAGAGGGAGUAGCUUGAACAAGAAAAAGAGGCUUUUUGACAAGUGAAUAGUGAGAUUAGAUGCCAUGGGGGACCUCAUUAGCUUUUCAAUAUUUUCUAGUAAAUCAAGAUCGCCAGGUUUUGAAGAGGAAUAAAUGAAUAGUUUGAGUAACAAGAGAACGAUUGACACAGCAAUCAUUAGUUUUCGUAGUACGUAUUUUGAAAAGAGAAGUGGGCUUAGAAUAAAGUGCCAAAGGGAAAUAAUAACUCCAACUUAACUCUACCAAUUGAGUUCUAUCUUUAACCAUUAGCCAAGCCAGCUUAGGCAUGGUAAAUAUUAUCUUGUGCACAAAUAAAUUGUAAUUAAAUCACUUGAGAAAAAAAAAAAGCAACCUUUUUGCAGAUUAAUCAAUUGAAUUAAGCAUAUUCAAUCAGGUGGGGUUUAACUGAAUUCUUUUACCUUAAUCAAACCCAAACCACCUAUUCAGUUUCAGUUUAACGACCAACCUUUAUAGAACAUGCACUUUCUGAUUCAGUUUUAACUGGGUGGAUUUUUCAUUUUUGCGAACAGCCUCAGACGUGUGCUGGGAGAUGCCAUUUUUUUUUUUAUUACAUAUAUUCGCGAAACAGAAACUGAUCCUGGGAACGACAUCAGUGAUCCAGGAAGGACUGCAGCUUGCUAGGGUAGCAGAGAAUGAGGUGACUCAGAUUUUGCCAGUCACCAAGAUCUUGUACUUGUCUUCAAAAUACUUUUAUCUGAAUUAACUCGAGGUUGAUUCAAUUGCAGAAAUUAUGCUUAAUCUGAACCAG
rnacentral:misc_RNA from 1 species